rnacentral:rRNA from 1 species
AUUGAACGCUGGCGGCAGGCCUAACACAUGCAAGUCGAGCGGGGUUUUCGGACCUAGCGGCGGACGGGUGAGUAAUGCGUAGGAAGCUACCCGAUAGAGGGGGAUACCAGUUGGAAACGACUGUUAAUACCGCAUAAUGUCUACGGACCAAAGUGUGGGACCUUCGGGCCACAUGCUAUCGGAUGCGCCUACGUGGGAUUAGCUAGUUGGUGAGGUAAUGGCUCACCAAGGCGACGAUCUCUAGCUGGUUUGAGAGGAUGAUCAGCCACACUGGAACUGAGACACGGUCCAGACUCCUACGGGAGGCAGCAGUUGGGAAUAUUGGACAAUGGGCGCAAGCCUGAUCCAGCCAUGCCGCGUGUGUGAAGAAGGCCUUCGGGUUGUAAAGCACUUUCAGCGAGGAGGAAGGGUUGUGUGUUAAUAGUACACAGCCUUGACGUUACUCGCAGAAGAAGCACCGGCUAACUACGUGCCAGCCGCCGCCGUAA